CAACGUGGGUGGCAGUGGGCGGUGCAUGGGACGUGAGAAGCACAAGAAUUGCGUAUUCCGCAUUUGCCGUGUUGGAUAUUUCGUGUAAGGGACAUCGUCGUUGUGUGGAACAUAUGAAUCAUGAAGUGCACUCGCUGACUCGUCGACAGAAAGCAAACGCGAGCACAUAGAAUGCAUCAGCAGGCCGAAGUGUGAUCCACGUGAUAGUGAGGCAACAUCGGCAGACACUACUCCUGUUGCUGUCGUAGGGCGUGACGUAACCGGCGAGAAGCGAGAUUGAUUCUCAGCUGGCUCACUGGCCAUUGGCCAACAUAUCAGCAUAUAUAUCCAGUGGUUCACCACGCGAUCAGCCGCACGCACGAACCCCCGCUGCAGCGACCAUGAGCAACGACUGCUCAGCUGUUCUGCCUGCCUCUAUGCAGCAAGUUAUUCUGAACACGGGCAACAUCCUGGGCUGCAAGGACCUCACAAAAAAAGUGUUUCAGUCGCUCGGAGAGGAACUCAUACAAAGCCUGACAAUGGCACUUGUCAAGUGGAAAUCAUCGGGCAACGAUGUGAAUUGUUCUGAUGGGAAGGUGCUGAAGUAUGCCAACAAAGACCUGCCAUGUCGAGUAGCCAUCAAAGAACGGUCAACCUUCAAAAUCACAGUGAAGAUCUUCCUAAGUGGUUUCGACGCUGUGGCCUUGGAGUCUGCUACACAUAAAGUGUUGGAGGAGCUUGGUGUGUCUGAGCUGGACUCUCUGAUUGUGGCCUUCCCACCAAGUGCAAAGUCCAGCACAGAACCGGUGCGACCCCUGUGGGCUGCCGCUGAGCAGCUUUACCGCCAGCGCCUGGCACUCUCAGUCGGUGUUUGCGACCUGGACACAGCACAGCUGCGGGAUCUUCACUCAUGGGCUGAGGUGAAGCCGAGCGUGAACCAGGUGAACCUCGACUCAUGCUGCGUCAUCCCUCAGGAGAUGCAGGAAUUUGCCAAGGCAAACAACAUUCAGCUCCUGACACACAGUGACCCAAAGGUGCUGCUUGACCAUGAUGGCAUGGCCCGCCUACUCAAGGGCUAUGUGGCAGAGGAGGACAUCCACCGCUGGUCAGCACCCUGGGUGGCCCGCUAUUCAGUGCUUGUCAAGUGCCGAGGCUUCCUGCAGAGCAAGGGCUACGUUGCGAGCCUUGUCAAGGAGCCAUAAUGAUCAGAAAGGACCGUGCUUCAUCUAAACACAGGCACGAGACUGGACUGCAGCAUUGGGAAGCGAGGGAUUUCUCGCCAGUCAUAACCCUCCCCUGUGUCAUCAGCACCAUUGGUGUUAUAUGCUGCUGCUUCUCCAGCACUUCCCCCAGCUCACUGGAAAAUCAGGCCUCCUUGCUCCCCGGCCACAUGAACACUGCUUUCGUUUACAAUGGGGAACACAUCCUUUUCCUGAUCAUUUGUCUUCAGCUUCAUGUCGUCUGCAACAGCCGGAUUGCAAGAACUCGUGACCUCGUGCACUGAGGAGAACUGACAGCAGAGUGAGUGUCGGUGUGCAAAGAACUCGUGCAUGAAAAGGCCUGCCCGGUGUAAAAUCAAGUGCGUCAGUGGAGGUGGCGCGCGCUGCAAUCGCCUAAUCAAGUGCCAGAGUGCAGCACUCUUGAACAAGUGCCAAAUGUGCAGGCUAAUGGAGGAGACCUUAGGUGGACACUUACAGAAUACUCCCUCGCCCCAGAUUUUGCAUCUUCUGCUCAUGGACCAGCUUGCCGUGGGAGGGUUAUGGCCAUGAUGGAUGCGACGCAUGCGUGUGGUCCUUAGCCGACUAGGAGUGCAGUGAGGCCAAUAGCUGCCGGGUUCGUCGGCUGUGUCGUCUGCUAUUAUGACUGUGUCAGUGUGCACUUGUUGUCACAUGACCUUUUUUUUACUUGAAGUUGCCUCUUUCAUAUCAACCAGCCCAUAUGGACAGCUUAUCCUAAUCAUGCCAUCCACAAUAACUCAAAUGUACAAUGUAGUACAAAAGCAGACUCCCUGCCACAGGUCAGAUAUAAAGAAACGCAAACCCACUAUUGCUAUAGUGAAUGCUGCCCAAAGCCACCAUGCUAUUGUGUUGACAUAAACCUCGGUACAAAAACAAAUAAAAGAUUUUGUUUGUGAAUGUAAUCUCGAAUAUUCAGUUAUUUCAUAUCUGCAUACUUCAAUUGGUUAUAAGCUAUCGAUUGCUGAGUUUUUUAAUUGAAUUUAAAUACCAUAUCGACAAGUGUAAGGGCUGCACUUUUUUUCAUAAUUUUGACGAGGUGCGGCCGGCGCGGCUCUUGCAUUGGACUGAACCUUUUGGUCGGAAUGAUGCUGCGACUUGUGCACACCCUGGAUGCACCAUCGCAUCAGAAGCCUACACGCAGCUCCCACCAUCUAGUAGCAGUACGUGGAAGUAUGCAGCGUGCGGAAAUUUGCUCAUGCAUGCGCGCGGCAUCGGUGCACUGAACGCAAUUGCUUUUCCUUUGGAACUUUUUCCAAAUUUUGGGCUGCCAAGCUGGGGAGGGGGGGGGGGGGGCAAAAGUGACGCUUUCAACACUAAGAAUUACUAAUUUACUAAUUACACCUUAAUAUUUGCCUUUAUUGUAUUUUUAAAUAUUAGUGAAAUUUCUGUUACAAUGACUGGCAGAUAGAUAUUGCUGUACCCUCGUGAUAGUUAUUCUUGCACUGAAUGCCUGUAUUGGUCAGUAGCAUAUUUGUGAAUAUUUUUUUCUUAGUCUGUGUUGCGUCUUUUAAAACAUUUGCAGUGUUAAUGCAAAUUGUUGGCAGUCAUUUGUAUAGUUCAUUGCUUCUUCCAGAUGUUAUUUAUGGUGUCGUUUGCAUGAGCAUAGUUGUGGUAAGUAUCAAUGUGUGAAGAAAGCCCAUCUGGUUGGAACAAUACAUAGUAAAAAGGAAGGAGCCAGGAUGACAAUCAAAAAGAUUUAAUAACCUUUUUAACGUUUCGACUCCCACACAGGAGCCUUGUUCACAAAGUCCUUUUUACUAUGUAUCAUUCCAACCAGAUGGGCUUUUUAGUAUGUAUGUAUGUAUGUGUGCUUUCAUGAAUGUGUGCCGAAUAAAAAAGAACAGUAAGUGUGUAAAAGAGAAGCUUGGCUUGUAGCCAUGGCAAUUUGUGUUGUAAGUAGGAUUGUGAAUACUAUUCUAGAUGUGAAAUCAAAUCGAGUGGCAACCAGCCAAACAAUUUUAUUCAGCUUUUUCAAUAUUUAGUUUCGAAGUCCAUAAUGAUCCAAACUAUGAAACAACUUAGUGUCGCUAUUGACCCUUGCUGCGGUGAUCCCAUGGGCGCUGCCAUGUUUGUUCACAUGGUGAUGCGUCCAUUGCUUGCCUCAACUGUCUCCGUUGCCUCCGCGUUUACAGUGAGUGUGUAUGACGCAAGUGCCGCUUAGCAAACCUCUGUUUUGGGAUAUAUCGUAGACGGUGACUGGGUGGAUGACACGAAACAUUGGCCACUGCUACAGAGAACAUGCAGAAGCGCUUUGGAAGCUGAUUAAGCUAUGUCCAAAUGGUGCGAGCAGUGUAUAUGGUGCUUGUUUUAGAAGCGAGGCUAAAUAUGUAUUCCAAACUAUCCAAACUUUCCGCUCAUGAAUUGAAUCAGGGUUAGUGUGUUUUGCUCUUCGUUCUUUAUUUGGCAAAUAUUUUGGAGCAGCGGCUUGUCACAUUUCUGACUCACUAAAUUCCCUUGGUGCGGUCACUAUCUGACUAUUUCUGCCAUAUGGCUCACGGGUGUGCUCAGUUCCGAUAGGUUUGUUGUUGCUGCGCGCAAGGCUUGAAAGGCAGCCCUUUUGUACAUUGUAAUAUCUUGUAGCAAAGAUGUAUUAUCGCUAGUAACUCACUUACUUUUGUGGGCCAUCACAAAACAUUCAACUUCGAUCAUCAACGCGCUAUCUGUGUAGUCCGUCAUUUAUUGUGUGUAUAUGGUAUGUAUGUAUUCAAGUGUGCGCCCAUUCACUUAUUGACAUGUUGGCGAUAGAGUGGGCGUAAGAUUCUGUGCCAGUUGGGGUAGAUGUGCGUAGAUACUGUGCGUGAAACAUACUAUGACAGGAAGCAGCGCUACUCCCGUAACACUGCUUCAACAUUUACAUUAAUCUUGCUGAAUUUUUGUUUUGCAUGAAAAUUUCCUACACGCACGCCACUUUGCGUGCUACUAUACUGUGCAGCAUGUCAAUGCCAUGUUCCUGUGUUGCUUUGCUUUCAUGGCCACACCUAGACGGCAGUCAAUAAAGUAUAGUACCACGUCAAAAA